GCCCGUAGCUCAGCUGGAUAGAGCGCUGCCCUCCGGAGGCAGAGGCCAGGGGUUCGAAUCCCUUCGGGC
rnacentral:tRNA from 1 species